CAGGAAAUAGUUUAAAUAAAAUAUUAAUUUUGGAGAUUAAAGAUGAGGGUUUCUUUUUCCUGA
rnacentral:tRNA from 1 species